GAUGAACGCUGGCGGCGUGCCUAAUACAUGCAAGUCGAGCGAACAGACGAGGAGCUUGCUCCUCUGACGUUAGCGGCGGACGGGUGAGUAACACGUGGAUAACCUACCUAUAAGACUGGGAUAACUUCGGGAAACCGGAGCUAAUACCGGAUAAUAUAUUGAACCGCAUGGUUCAAUAGUGAAAGACGGUUUUGCUGUCACUUAUAGAUGGAUCCGCGCCGCAUUAGCUAGUUGGUAAGGUAACGGCUUACCAAGGCAACGAUGCGUAGCCGACCUGAUAGGGUGAUCGGCCACACUGGAACUGAGACACGGUCCAGACUCCUACAGGAGGCAGCAGUAGGGAAUCUUCCGCAAUGGGCGAAAGCCUGACGGAGCAACGCCGCGUAAGUGAUGAAGGUCUUCGGAUCGUAAAACUCUGUUAUUAGGGAAGAACAAAUGUGUAAGUAACUAUGCACGUCUUGACGGUACCUAAUCAGAAAGCCACGGCUAACUACGUG
rnacentral:rRNA from 1 species